AACGAACGCUGGCGGCAGGCUUAACACAUGCAAGUCGAACGCCCCGCGAGGGGCGUGGCAGACGGGUGAGUAACGCGUGGGAACAUACCCUUUUCUACGGAAUAGCUCUGGGAAACUGGAAUUAAUACCGUAUACGCCCUACGGGGGAAAGAUUUAUCGGGGAAGGAUUGGCCCGCGUUGGAUUAGCUAGUUGGUGGGGUAAAGGCCUACCAAGGCGACGAUCCAUAGCUGGUCUGAGAGGAUGAUCAGCCACAUUGGGACUGAGACACGGCCCAAACUCCUACGGGAAGCAGCAGUGGGGAAUAUUGGACAAUGGGCGCAAGCCUGAUCCAGCCAUGCCGCGUGAGUGAUGAAGGCCUUAGGGUUGUAAAGCUCUUUCACCGAUGAAGAUAAUGACGGUAGUCGGAGAAGAAGCCCCGGCUAACUUCGUG
rnacentral:rRNA from 1 species